CGUAGGUGGCAAGCGUUGUCCGGAUUUAUUGGGUUUAAAGGGUGCGUAGGCGGUCUUUUAAGUCAGUGCUGAAAUAUCCCGGCUUAACCGGGAGGGUGGCAUUGAUACUGAGAGACUUGAGUAAAGUUGAGGUAGGCGGAAUUGACGGUGUAGCGGUGAAAUGCUUAGAUAUCGUCAAGAACACCGAUAGUGUAGACAGCUCACUAAGCUUUAACUGACGCUGAGGCACGAAAGUGUGGGGAUCAAACAGGAUUAGAUACCCUGGUAGUCCACACUGUAAACGUUGAUGACUCGAUGUUAGCGAUACACAGUUAGCGUCUUAGAGAAAUCGUUAAGUCAUCCACCUGGGGAGUACGCCGGCAACGGUG
rnacentral:rRNA from 1 species